AACGAACGCUGGCGGCAUGCCUAACACAUGCAAGUCGAACGAGAUCUUCGGGUCUAGUGGCGCACGGGUGCGUAACGCGUGGGAAUCUGCCCUUUGGUUCGGAAUAACAGUUGGAAACGACUUCUAAUACCGGAAGAUGAUGAAAGUCCAAAGAUUUAUCGCCAGAGGAUGAGCCCGCGUAGGAUUAGCUAGUUGGUGUGGUAAAGGCGCACCAAGGCGACGAUCCUUAGCUGGUCUGAGAGGAUGAUCAGCCACACUGGGACUGAGACACGGCCCAGACUCCUACGGGAGGCAGCAGUGGGGAAUAUUGGACGAUGGGCGAAAGCCUGAUCCAGCAAUGCCGCGUGAGUGAUGAAGGCCUUAGGGUUGUAAAGCUCUUUGACCCGGGAUGAUAAUGACGGUACCGGGAGAAUAAGCUCCGGCUAACUCCGUGCCAGCCGCCGCCGUAA
rnacentral:rRNA from 1 species